AUGCAGGUGCUACUGGGUGAUUUUGUAGGAGCAACAACUUGGUUCCUACCACAUGUUAUCACUGUCGAUUCUACGGAAUUUAUAGCAGUUCAGAAUGGUAUGUUCUUGGCGGCUAACAUGGGGUGCAACAGUAUAGAGAUCGAGUCUGACUGUAGUUUUGCGGUGAACUCUGUGCAACUGAUGGACGAGUACUUGGGCCCGAAUGUUACAGUGAUAAUUGAGUGCAAGCAAAUGCGACGGAGUUUCGAAGAUCUACUUAUAUGCACCCUUGCCGUGAAGCUAAUCAAGUUGUUGAUGAGUUAG
rnacentral:rRNA from 1 species